rnacentral:rRNA from 1 species
AUUGAACGCUGGCGGCAUGCCUUACACAUGCAAGUCGAACGGCAGCACGGGAGCAAUCCUGGUGGCGAGUGGCGAACGGGUGAGUAAUAUAUCGGAACGUGCCCAGUCGUGGGGGAUAACGCAGCGAAAGCUGUGCUAAUACCGCAUACGAUCUACGGAUGAAAGUGGGGGAUCGCAAGACCUCGCGCGAUUGGAGCGGCCGAUAUCAGAUUAGCUAGUUGGUGGGGUAAAGGCCCACCAAGGCGACGAUCUGUAGCUGGUCUGAGAGGACGACCAGCCACACUGGAACUGAGACACGGUCCAGACUCCUACGGGAGGCAGCAGUGGGGAAUUUUUGGACAAUGGGCGCAAGCCUGAUCCAGCAAUGCCGCGUGCAGGAUGAAGGCCU